rnacentral:rRNA from 1 species
UACGAAGGGGGCUAGCGUUGUUCGGAAUUACUGGGCGUAAAGCGCGCGUAGGCGGACAUUUAAGUCAGGGGUGAAAUCCCGGGGCUCAACCCCGGAACUGCCUCUGAUACUGGGUGUCUAGAGUUCGGAAGAGGUAAGUGGAAUUGCGAGUGUAGAGGUGAAAUUCGUAGAUAUUCGCAGGAACACCAGUGGCGAAGGCGACUUACUGGUCCGAUACUGACGCUGAGGUGCGAAAGCGUGGGGAGCAAACAGG